GGAGAGGCAUUAAAAACUCAUCAGUGCCAGGCUGAGUCUUUCUCCUUGUAAGACUCAGCUGGGUGAAAGUAAACAGGAAGGAGAUGGUUUUUUCACCAUGUGACUUCAGCCCAUUUAAGUCCAUUCAGUUUUCUAGAGGAAAUCGUCUUGCAGCUCCCCAGCAGUGACAACUUCCAAGAACCCCGGUGUUGUUUGUUGCAGAGGCUACACAAUGACUAUGAGGACUUUGCCUUUUAAGAAGUCAGCAUCCGAAACUGUGAGGCACCCAGGCAGAGUGCCUUCCUAGAGGCAGGGCCCCCCAGGACAGGACACAUGCACGGGGUGUAGGAUCUGCCCUCCCAGGUCAGGAGGAGAGAAGACAAUCCCUCCUGCUAGGUUAUUACCAGUGACAGGCCCUGCUGGGGAGCCCCACUCUGAGGAUGACCCGGGAUGCGCCACCCUGGCACCGGGAUGAGCAUGGAAGGCCCAGCCUGACUCAGCCAGCCCCGCCCCGUCGGGCAGCAUGCUGUCUGCCCUGCGCCAGUGAACCCCAGGUCGGCAGGGGCUUUGUGUGGGAGGUGGUAACUGAGCAGAAGAGGUCAUAAAGCCUCCUGGGGACCCAGCUAGUCCCAGAGCAGGAGGGCCCAGGGUUUUUUGCAGGCGACCCUGGUACUCCUAAGUUUCACCCCAUCCGAAGAAAUAAAUCAGGUACAAGCCAAACAUGGCCCAGGGCAGCAAAGUGGAUGCUUUUUGGCUCAAGAAUUAUCAGCCACAGUCACAGUGAGAUGGAUUCAGGGCACAGGCUUAUGCACGGAGUGCCAGCACGCUGCACAAAGAGACGGGGAAGAGGGACAGAAGGGGACCAAGAGCGGAGGAGAUGUGGCUGCUAUACCGCCAUGCCCUCAGCACACCCAGCUGGAAGUGCCAGGGAGUUCAUGCCUCCGCCCCUCUGCCCACAGGAACAGCCCCGAGGGGUGACCAGGAGUACCCCUGGUUGCUCUAAGGCACAUUCCCCCCAUCUUCCAGGGCUCCCCUUCCCUGUGGCUGCUUCCUGAUGUCACCUUCCAACAUACUCCUUGCACUCAAAUUCUCGUCUUAGGGGCUUUAUGUUUUCCCAUCUUAUGGUUAAGGCUUUAAUCCUGCUUGAGUUGAUCUUUGUAUAUGGUGCCAAGUAAGGAUCCAAUUUUAUUCUUUUGUAUGUGGGUAUCCAGUCUCUCUGACAUCAUUUAUUAAAGAGAUAAUCGGGAUGCCUGGGUGGCUCAGCAGUUGAGCAUCUGCCUUCGAUUCAGGGUAGGGAUCCUCGGAUCCAAGGAUUGACUCCCGUAUCUGGCUCCCUGCGAGGAGCCUGCUUCUCCCUCUGCCUGUGUCUCUGCCUCUCUCUGUGUUUCUCAUGAAUAAAUAAAUAAAAUCUUAAAAUAAAAUAAAAUAA
rnacentral:lncRNA from 1 species